AAGAAUAUAGAACACUGUGAUGAGCGGUUUUUAUUUGCACUUUAAACCGCUUGGAGUGACUAGUGCAGCCGGCCAAUGAUCUA
rnacentral:ncRNA from 17 species